rnacentral:rRNA from 1 species
UGCGUAGGCGGAUAUAUAAGUCAGUUGUGAAAGGUCUGAGCUAAACUGAGGAAUUGCAAUUGAAACUGUAUAUCUUGAAUGGGGCUGAGGUUAGCGGAAUGAGUCAUGUAGCGGUGAAAUGCAUAGAUAUGACUUAGAACACCGAUUGCGAAGGCAGCUAACUAGACCUCUAUUGACGCUGAGGCACGAAAGCGUGGGUAGCGAACAGGAUUAGAUACCCUGGUAGUCC